rnacentral:rRNA from 1 species
AGUGAACGCUGGCGGUAGGCCUAACACAUGCAAGUCGAACGGCAGCACAGUAAGAGCUUGCUCUUACGGGUGGCGAGUGGCGGACGGGUGAGGAAUACAUCGGAAUCUACUUUUUCGUGGGGGAUAACGUAGGGAAACUUACGCUAAUACCGCAUACGACCUCCGGGUGAAAGCAGGGGAUCUUCGGACCUUGCGCGAUUGAAUGAGCCGAUGUCGGAUUAGCUAGUUGGCGGGGUAAAGGCCCACCAAGGCGACGAUCCGUAGCUGGUCUGAGCGGAUGAUCAGCCACACUGGAACUGAGACACGGUCCAGACUCCUACGGGAGGCAGCAGUGGGGAAUAUUGGACAAUGGGCGCAAGCCUGAUCCAGCCAUACCGCGUGGGUGAAGAAGGCCUUCGGGUUGUAAAGCCCUUUUGUUGGGAAAGAAAAGCAGCAGGUUAAUACCCCGCUGUUCUGACGGUACCCAAAGAAUAAGCACCGGCUAACUUCGUG